rnacentral:rRNA from 1 species
GACGAACUGCCCAAACGUUGUUCGGAAUCACUGGGCUUAAAGGGCGCGUAGGCGGCAUAUCAAGUCAGGGGUGAAAUCCGGCAGCUUAACUGUCGAAGUGCCUUUGAUACUGAUGUGCUAGAGGGAGGUAGGGGUGUGUGGAACUUCCGGUGGAGCGGUGAAAUGCGUUGAUAUCGGAAGGAACGCCGGUGGCGAAAGCGACACACUGGAUCUCAUCUGACGCUGAGGCGCGAAAGCUAGGGGAGCAAACGGG